UUGUAAUCGUGUGUAUAUCAUCGAGACACGAGGACAACUACUCCAGAUUUAAAACACGUUAAAGAAGACGUUAAGCUCCAACGUGCAGAUAUGCAGUCUAUAAUGAAACUGUGUUGUGCAAAAGAUGUGGUUCACGAGAACACAUUAACAAAGGAAAAGACUUCUAGCUUGAAGACAGCGAUGACAGAUCAGGGCUCACAGACAUAUCAGGGCUUACAGACAGAUCUGGACGUACAGACAGAUCAGGGCUCAGAGAUAUAUCAGGGCUUACAGACAGAUCUGGACAUACAGACAGAUCAGGGCUUACAGACAGAUCUGGACGUACAGACAGAUCAGGGCUCACAGACAUAUCAGGGCUUACAGACAGAUCCGGACGUACAGACAGAUCCGGGCUUACAGACAGAUCCGGGCUUACAGACAGAUUUCGGCUUACAGACAGAUCCGGGCUUACAGACAGAUCCGGUCUUACAGACAGAUCCGGGCUUACAGACAGAUUUCGGCUUACAGACAGAUCCGGGCUUACAGACAGAUCCGGGCUUACAGACAGAUCGGGGCUUACAGACAGAUUUCGGUUUACAGACAGAUCCGGGAUUACAGACAGAUUUCGGCUUACAGACAGAUCCGGUCUUACAGACAGAUUUCGGCUUACAGACAGAUCUGGGCUUACAGACAGAUUUCGGCGUACAGACAGAUUUCAGCUUACAGAAAGAUCUGGGCUUACAGACAGAUCUGGGCUUACAGACAGAUCUGGAUUUACAGACAGAUCGGGGCUUACAGACAGAUCUGGGUUUACAGACAGAUCUGGGCUUACAGACAUAUCUGGGCUUACAGACAGAUCAGUGCUUACAGACAGAUCAGUGCUUACAGACAGAUCAGUGCUUACAGACAGAUCAGUACUUACCAGAACCUUGGGUGAAAGCUACACGCCACCGCAAGCGCCGUCCAAAGGCAUCCACUCUUCGGGGUGCUCCUCCUACAGCUUCCACAAAAGCUCCACCUGAAAAAACAGAGGAGCUCCUAGAGCAGCCUGAAGUACAGAAGGAUAACACUUCUGGAAAUGCUCAGGUGGAGCACCUCCCCGAGCUCCAGGCUCCUGCUCCACCCACUGUCCCCAGAAGAGAUUCAGAAGCAGAUUCAGAAGUAGAGCCAGGACCCAGUUGUAUGCCUAUGCAGGAGAUUGAUGCUCUCACUGUGGAAGACACAGAACAAAUGUUGCUGCCAGCCCCGGAGGAGAGUCUAGAGAGUAUAACGGCUCAUCAGCCCGACAUCAACAUACCAUGCGGGUCUCGGCGGGUGACUAGGUCUGCGAAGAGAUUUGGUUCGCCACAAGUUGUCCACUUACCUCCGGUGAAAACUGCACGCCGUUUGGCCUCGACCUUUGGGAGCAUACCUAACCCUCAUUUUAGAGACAAUCAUCGACGCUCUGAAUACGAGGACAGCUACGGUCCUAAGAGACGCACCAGAAAUUUCAGCCUUGCUCUGUACCGACAGCAAAAGGGAACACUUUAAAAAGCAGGUCUCCGGGCGGCAAAUGUAAAAAAAAAAAAAAAAAAAGAGUAAUUAAUGACGCUUGUUCAGGACCACAACGUCAGUAUUCACCUUUUUACUUUUGCCGCCCAAUUCUCCAUGGAUGUGAAAAAGAAAUUUUGCCAAACCCAGAACUAGCCAGACGAGGUAGAUUUUAUGGCAGUACCCCAGGAGCCAGCUUGAGGACACUGGCAGGAAACUCCUCGACAAAAACCCCCAGCAAAAUAGUUCUUUAAAAAAAAAUGAACAAAUAAAAUAAAUGUGACAGUAGUGUUUUUAUUCUCUUUUUUAUUUUUAAAUAUAAGAAAUAUAUUUAUUAAGUAUAAUAAAUGAGACUAAUAGUAAGUAAACAUUACAAGCAGUUGUUUUUGUUCUCUUUAUCAACUAAUACAAUAAACAUG